AGGCCCAUGGUGUAAUGGUAGCAUACCGGUCUCCAAAACCGUUUGUCCGGGUUCAAAUCCUGGUGGGCCUGCCA
rnacentral:tRNA from 1 species